AUUGAACGCUGGCGGCAUGCCUUACACAUGCAAGUCGAACGGCAGCACGGGAGCAAUCCUGGUGGCGAGUGGCGAACGGGUGAGUAAUAUAUCGGAACGUGCCCAGUCGUGGGGAUAACGUAGCGAAAGCUACGCUAAUACCGCAUACGAUCUAUGGAUGAAAGCGGGGGAUCGCAAGACCUCGCGCGAUUGGAGCGGCCGAUAUCAGAUUAGGUAGUUGGUGAGGUAAAGGCUCACCAAGCCGACGAUCUGUAGCUGGUCUGAGAGGACGGACGGCCACACUGGGACUGAGACACGGCCCAGACUCCUACGGGAGGCAGCAGUGGGAAUUUUGGGCAAUGGGCGCAAGCCUGAUCCAGCAAUGCCGCGUGCAGGAUGAAGGCC
rnacentral:rRNA from 1 species